GUCUGUGGCCAUAGCACCCCGAAGGCACCCGAUCUUGUCUGGUCUCAGGAACUAAGCAGGAUUGGGCCUGGUUUGUACUUAGAUGGGAGAAAAUGUGGGUGCUCUGUGCA
rnacentral:rRNA from 1 species